rnacentral:tRNA from 1 species
GCCGAAGUGGUGAAAUUGGUAGACACGCUAUCUUGAGGGGGUAGUGUCCGUCAGGACGUGCCGGUUCAAGUCCGGCCUUCGGCACCA